UCUAACAGCUACGCGCAUUUUAGCUUUUGCGCUAUCGCGUUUAGACCAAUCAACACCCAUGUUUUCUUUCACUGUUUUAGUUAGCUCAUGAGCAAUCGCACGUAGUUCUUUAUCUCCCAUGGCUUCUUUUGCUGUUUCAUGUGAAGCUAAAGCAUCGUAAAACGCAAUCUCAUCUGAAUUCAGGCCUAAUUCAUUUCCUCGUUGUUGUUCUUGUUUAAUAUCUUUAGCGAGUUGAAUGAGUUCUUCAAUCACUUUUGAUGUUUCAAUAGAACGGCUAUUAUAUUUAUUAAUCGAAUUUCCUAACAUUUCAGAGAAACGCUUAGAUACUGUCGCGUUCGUUUUCAUUAAUGAUUUUACUUGCCCUUUGAGUAAUCGAUUUAAUAAUUCUACCGCAACAUUUUUUGUUUCAAUCCUUCGACAUCUUUUAGGAAGUCAUCUGAUAGGAUUGAUAAAUCGG
rnacentral:sRNA from 1 species